UCCGUAGGUGAACCUGCGGAAGGAUCAUUACCGAGUGAGGGCCCUUUGGGUCCAACCUCCCACCCGUGUUUAUUUUACCUUGUUGCUUCGGCGGGCCCGCCUUUACUGGCCGCCGGGGGGCUCACGCCCCCGGGCCCGCGCCCGCCGAAGACACCCCCGAACUCUGUCUGAAGAUUGAAGUCUGAGUGAAAAUAUAAAUUAUUUAAAACUUUCAACAACGGAUCUCUUGGUUCCGGCAUCGAUGAAGAACGCAGCGAAAUGCGAUACGUAAUGUGAAUUGCAAAUUCAGUGAAUCAUCGAGUCUUUGAACGCACAUUGCGCCCCCUGGUAUUCCGGGGGGCAUGCCUGUCCGAGCGUCAUUGCUGCCCUCAAGCCCGGCUUGUGUGUUGGGCCCCGUCCUCCGAUUCCGGGGGACGGGCCCGAAAGGCAGCGGCGGCACCGCGUCCGGUCCUCGAGCGUAUGGGGCUUUGUCACCCGCUCUGUAGGCCCGGCCGGCGCUUGCCGAUCAACCCAAAUUUUUAUCCAGGUGAC
rnacentral:rRNA from 1 species